GGCUCAGUACCAGAAUUGGCAUAUGGACUCGGCUCAAACCCGAGGCUUUGAGGGUUCGACUCCCUCCUGAGCUA
rnacentral:tRNA from 1 species